GAUGAACGCUGGCGGCGUGCCUAAUACAUGCAAGUCGAGCGGUAAGGCCACUUCGGUGGUACACGAGCGGCGGACGGCUGAGUAACGCGUAGGAACAUACCCCAAACUGAGGGAUAACUGCCCGAAAGGGUAGCUAAUACCGCAUGUGCUCUUCGGAGUAAAGCUACGGCGGUUUGGGAAUGGCCUGCGUCCGAUUAGCUAGUUGGUGAGGUAAUAGCUCACCAAGGCGACGAUCGGUAGCUGGUCUGAGAGGAUGAUCAGCCAGACUGGGACUGAGAACGGCCCAGACUCCUACGGGAGGCAGCAGUAGGGAAUUUUCCACAAUGGACGAAAGUCUGAUGGAGCAACGCCGCGUGCAGGAUGAAGGCUUUCGGGUCGUAAACUGCUUUUAUCUGUGAAGAUUAUGACGGUAGCAGAUGAAUAAGGACCGGCUAACUCCGUGCCAGCCGCCGCCGUAA
rnacentral:rRNA from 1 species